UCUCCCCCUCCCCUCUUGCGCUCUGUCUCUGUCUCUCAAAAUUAAACAUUAAAAAAAAUAAAGGGUCCAGCCGAAUGGUUUUUAGUAUAUUCAUAGAUGGUGCAACCAUCAACACAAUUGAUUUCAGGCCAUUGUCAUCCCCCAAAACCCAUACCCAUUAGUAUAGCCAAUUGCCCUUCUCCCACACUUCCCACCCCCCAGCCCUAGACAACCACUGGUCUACUUUCUUUCCACAGAUCUGUCUGCGCCCGGCGUUUCAUGCAAAUGGAAGCCUACCGCAUGUGGUCGGCGGUGACUGGCUUCGUUCACUUAACAACGUUUUCAAGGGGGCAAAUCUACAUUUUGUCGCAAGCAAUGCCUGUUAUUCCCAGUGACUUGGAGGCCCUUCUUCCCCGAAGGGGAAGGAAAUGCAUUUAAACACAAGGGAAAACUGCAAGUAACAGGUAUAAAAGACAUCUGGGGAACUUAUGGAAACCUGAAUAUUUAAUAAU